rnacentral:rRNA from 1 species
UGCCGGGGAAGCGAAUGAGGCUGUGGGUGGCUCCGGCGUCGUCAGGCGUUCCGGUGGAUGCUCUGUGGUGGCUGUCUGACCCCGCAUGGGGAAGUCCCGCUGAGAGAUUGUCCCGCUGGGCCUGGCUGCAUUGAUGCCGGGGCUUGGCCAGCACCGGUUUGUAACUGNGGGACAGGUGUUCGGUCGGGUAGCUUGUCAAGGUGGUCCCUGCCUCGACGAUGGCCUGCUGAAACUGUUGCCCGUGUCAAACCGAGGUGAGUCGGCAUCCAUUGCCCUUGCGGUGCAGGCCUGAAGGCUGGACGGCGUUGUUGCACUGCCGGGGCUCCCUGGACUGCUUGCAGUGUUGGGGAUGCUUUGUGAGUGGUGCCGGAACGUGCGGUCACAAUGUGCACCGAGGGUGCUGGCUUGAGAUGUCUCAUCCGACCCGUCUUGAA